rnacentral:rRNA from 1 species
GCGACGACGGGUAGCCGGCCUGAGAGGGCGACCGGCCACACUGGGACUGAGACACGGCCCAGACUCCUACGGGAGGCAGCAGUGGGGAAUAUUGCACAAUGGGCGAAAGCCUGAUGCAGCGACGCCGCGUGAGGGAUGACGGCCUUCGGGUUGUAAACCUCUUUCAGCAGGGAAGAAGCGAAAGUGACGGUACCUGCAGAAGAAGCGCCGGCUAACUACGUGCCAGCAGCCGCGGUAAUACGUAGGGCGCAAGCGUUGUCCGGAAUUAUUGGGCGUAAAGAGCUCGUAGGCGGCUUGUCGCGUCGGUUGUGAAAGCCCGGGGCUUAACCCCGGGUCUGCAGUCGAUACGGGCAGGCUAGAGUUCGGUAGGGGAGAUCGGAAUUCCUGGUGUAGCGGUGAAAUGCGCAGAUAUCAGGAGGAACACCGGUGGCGAAGGCGGAUCUCUGGGCCGAUACUGACGCUGAGGAGCGAAAGCGUGGGGAGCGAACAGGAUUAGAUACCCUGGUAGUCCACGCCGUAAACGGUGGGCACUAGGUGUGGGCGACAUUCCACGUCGUCCGUGCCGCAGCUAACGCAUUAAGUGCCCCGCG